AUUAUCACAAAUAUUUCCCGUUGUAAUUAGUUUUGGGUCAUGAACCUAAUAUAUCCCAUUUAAGAAUUUUUGGAUGCGCAGUAUAUGUGCCUGUAGCACCGCCACCCAAUAUAUCCCAUUUAAGAAGCUUUGGAUGCGCAGUAUAGGUGCCUGUAGCACCGCCAUCCCGCACCAAAAUGGGUUUGCAAAGAAGGUCAGGAAUAUAUGUUGAGUAUGAAUCGUCCUCCAUAAUUCGCUACCUCGAAACAUUGACAGGGGAUUUGUUCACUGCACGAUUUGCAGACAGUCGAUUCGAUGAGACACUUUUCCCAAAAAUAGGGGGAGAAGUUGGUGAAACCAAACGGGAAAUUUUAUGAAAAAAUCCAU
rnacentral:lncRNA from 1 species